rfam:Glomerella graminicola M1.001 genomic scaffold supercont1.22, whole genome shotgun sequence.
GGCCGACUGGCGCAAUGGUAGCGCUUCAGACUUCUAAUCUGGAGGUUGUGGGUUCGAGCCCCACGUUGGUCA